rnacentral:rRNA from 1 species
UACGUAGGCAGCAAGCGUUGUUCGGAGUUACUGGGCGUAAAGGGUGUGUAGGCGGUUCUUUAAGUUUGGUGUGAAAUCUCCCGGCUUAACCGGGAGGGUGCGCCGAAUACUGAGGGACUAGAGUACGGGAGAGGAAAGUGGAAUUCCUGGUGUAGCGGUGAAAUGCGUAGAUAUCAGGAGGAACACCUGCGGUGUAGACGGCUUACUGGACCAUGACUGACACUGAAACUCGAAAGUGUGGGGAGCAAACAGG